rnacentral:rRNA from 1 species
GAUGAACGCUAGCGGCAGGCCUAACACAUGCAAGUCGAGGGAGAGGUUACCUUCGGGUAACCAAAACCGGCGCACGGGUGCGUAACGCGUAUACAAUCUGCCUUUCACAUAGGGAUAGCCCGAAGAAAUUUGGAUUAAUACCUAAUGGUAUAUAAGAGCGGCAUCGUUUUUAUAUUACAGCUACGGUGGUGAAAGAUGAGUAUGCGUUCUAUUAGCUAGUUGGAGAGGUAACGGCUCCCCAAGGCGACGAUAGAUAGGGGUUCUGAGAGGGAUGUCCCCCACACUGGUACUGAGAUACGGACCAGACUCCUACGGGAGGCAGCAGUGAGGAAUAUUGGACAAUGGUCGGAAGACUGAUCCAGCCAUGCCGCGUGCAGGAUGAAGGUCCUAUGGAUUGUAAACUGCUUUUGUAAGGGAAGAAUAAGGAGUACGUGUACUUUGAUGACGGUACCUUACGAAUAAGCAUCGGCUAACUCCGUG